CGAGUCGGCCGGGCGGCCGCGGUGGGCGGAACGGGCGGCACAUGCCGUCACGCCGCGCAUCGAGGAAAGUCCGGACUCCACAGAGCAGGGUGGUUGCUAACGGCAACCCGGGGUGACCCGCGGGACAGUGCCACAGAGAACAGACCGCCGGCCGCGAGGCCGGUAAGGGUGAAACGGUGCGGUAAGAGCGCACCAGCGGCGCGGGUGACCGCGUCGGCUAGGUAAACCCCACCCGGAGCAAGGCCGAAGCACGCACCUCGCGGUGCGUGUGCGCGGGCGUCACGAGGGCUGCUCGCCCCAGCCCGCGGGUGGGCCGCUCGAGGUACCCGGCGACGGUGUGCCCAGAUGGAUGGUCGCCGCCCGCGACGACCGAGAGGUCGCGCGGGUACAGGAUCCGGCUUACGUGCCGGCUCGUUCG
rnacentral:RNase_P_RNA from 2 species